UGGGGAAUUUUGGACAAUGGGCGAAAGCCUGAUCCAGCAAUGCCGCGUGUGUGAAGAAGGCCUUCGGGUUGUAAAGCACUUUUGUCCGGAAAGAAAUCCUUGGCUCUAAUACAGUCGGGGGAUGACGGUACCGGAAGAAUAAGCACCGGCUAACUACGUGCCAGCAGCCGCGGUAAUACGUAGGGUGCAAGCGUUAAUCGGAAUUACUGGGCGUAAAGCGUGCGCAGGCGGUUUGCUAAGACCGAUGUGAAAUCCCCGGGCUCAACCUGGGAACUGCAUUGGUGACUGGCAGGCUAGAGUAUGGCAGAGGGGGGUAGAAUUCCACGUGUAGCAGUGAAAUGCGUAGAGAUGUGGAGGAAUACCGAUGGCGAAGGCAGCCCCCUGGGCCAAUACUGACGCUCAUGCACGAAAAGCGUGGGGAGCAAAACAGGAUUAGAUACCCUGGUAGUCCACGCCCUAAAACGAUGUCAACUAGUUGUUGGGGAUUCAUUUCCUUAGUAACGUAGCUAACGCGUGAAGUUGACCGCCUGGGGGAGUACGGUCGCAAGAUUAAAAACUUAAAGGAAUUGACGGGGUCAUAGCUGUUUCCU
rnacentral:rRNA from 1 species